GUCUGUCAUAAUCCUCUUCUCAACCAAUCCAGCCUCCCUGUAUCUUCUUAAUGCUCAGCACUUUCAGAUGUCGAAAUCUUUGUCCCCUCCUCCUGAGGUUUUUCAUUUUCACUGGUGAUAAAUCCGAGGGGAGCCCCAAGGACUUACUGCACUUCUGCAGGAGGAGCAAGAAUGCAGCCUGUCCUAACUCUUCUGGCCACUUUACUGCUGCUGCCCCUAGUGCUCCUAGGACAGCCUCAGGUACAGGCAGAGGGUGGAGGGAUCUCAAGCAGGUAGGGAGAUGGUUCUGUACUUUGGGCUGGCUUCCUUCUCUAUUGUGAUUCUGCUCAAGAAUCCCUUAAUCCUUGGAGAGAGUGAAAGUAGAGAGAAUUAGGGGGAAAAAGGAGGAUGGGACAUCAUUUUGUUUUGAUUUUCCCGUGGCUUGUAUGGGCAUAGGAUGUGAGAGAGAAGAGAAUGGCAAAGGAAAUAGAGAACUAACAUGCCAAAUUAUGAGGCUAUCUGACAUGCCAAAUUAUGAGGCUUCAUUCUCUACAAACCUGUCACCUUCUUCCUGUGCUAAGGGUACUGGAGCUAAUGGUGGCUAGAUCAGGUAUAGCAAACUAUGCAAUAUUUGUUUCAUUAUCCCAACAAAGCUCAACUAUUGGGUUGGAAUUUGCAAGGUGAAUAUAUAACCAGAGUAGGUUAUUGUUUAUAGGACCAGAAAAGCUAUGUGCGGGUCUUCUCUGAGAAGUAUAGAGGCCACAUAUUUAAUUCUAGAAGAUUUGGUUAGAAACCCCAGCUAGUGCCACAGGUCUAAUUUAAAAAUUGGGAAGGAGUCUUUAAUCUAGUGCUUGCUCAUCCAGUUUCAAAAUGGGUGUGAAAAAUUGGACCUUG
rnacentral:lncRNA from 1 species